rnacentral:rRNA from 1 species
GACGAACGCUGGCGGCGUGCUUAACACAUGCAAGUCGAACGAUGAAGCCUAGCUUGCUAGGUGGAUUAGUGGCGAACGGGUGAGUAAUACGUGAGUGACCGACCUUUGACUCUGGGAUAAGCCUGGGAAACUGGGCCUAAUACCGGAUACGACCAAUCUCCGCAGGGGGUGUUGGUGGAAAGCGUUAUGGAGUGGUUUUAGAUGGGCGCACGGCCUAUCAGCUUGUUGGUGAGGUAAUGGCUUACCCAGGCGACGACGGGUAGCCGGCCUGAGAGGGUGACCGGCCACACUGGGCCUGAGACACGGCCCAGACGCCUACGGUAGGCAGCAGUGGGGAAUAUUGCACAAUGGGCGCAAGCCUGAUGCAGCGGCGCCGCGUGAGGGAUGACGGCCUUCGGGGUGUAAACCUCUGUUAGCAUCGAAGAAGCGAAAGUGACGGUAGGUGCAGAGAAAGCGCCGGCUAACUACGUG